rnacentral:misc_RNA from 1 species
UCUCCGUAGGUGAACCUGCGGAGGGAUCAUUACUGAGUGAGGGCUCCGGCCCGACCUCCAACCCCAUGUGAACCGAAACCUGUUGCUUCGGGGGCGACCCUGCCUUCGUGCGAGGCGCCCCCGGGGGAAAUCAAACACUGCGUCAAUUUGUGUCGGAGUACUUGUUAAUAAACAAAACUUUCAACAACGGAUCUCUUGGUUCUGGCAUCGAUGAAGAACGCAGC